rnacentral:tRNA from 1 species
GGCUCGGUAGCUCAGUCGGUAGAGCAGAGGACUGAAAAUCCUCGUGUCGGCGGUUCGAUUCCCGUCCCGAGCCA